GGCUGGCGUCGCGCCCCGCUGCUGCCAGCCCGCGGCGGUACCCCGGGCCCGUUGCCCGCCCCCCCCGGGGGAGGGGGUACGGCCGACGGCCGGCUUCUCGCAGCACGGCGGGCGCACGUGUGGGCCCUCGCUGCCUUUCCCCGGGCUCUCUGGGGGCGGGCGGGAACGGGCGGCGGGCCCUGGGUGCCGGGGCCUGGGUGCCCUGAGCGUCGCCCACUGCCCAGGGAAGGUGAGGGCGCCGGGGCCCUGCCCGCGCAGGAUUCCCCUUCGCCGCCGCGCCGUUCCGCGCGAGUCGGGGCAAUCCAGGAGCUGCUCCAGAGGCCCCAACAGGUUCCCAGCCAAGCCUGGGGUCACCGGCAUGCAAAAGGAUCCCAGCUCCAGAGGUUCAGGGAAGUGGGCAGGGCGUACAGAUUCCACAUCUCUGAGGGACAUUUGUUGUCUUCAGAAGUGUCAGGGACCGAUUCUGCAUCUGAUACAAACGCUUCAAGCACUGGCAGCCCCCAAGCCCAGGGGUCUCCUCAUCAUUAGUUUUAGGUUGAGACUGCAUCAUGACUGUGCCUAAGCAAAUACAAAUGUCUUAUUCACAGGUUUGGCUGGACUAUAAUGCAUCUGCCCUAAGUAAGCUUGUAUAAAAAUGAGAGGUCUCACAUUCCUCUACCAUGUUAUCUCCACAUGUAGCAAAGCAUUUCUGCCAACCUUUGUUUGGCAUCAGCAUUACUGAUUUGUCUGAAACCCUAUCAAAAAUAACAACACACACACACCCCCACACACCCCGCUUUAGUUCUGAGUUGGAAUAAUUCCCUCAUCCAGUUUUCCAUGUAACUGCACAAGGAAGAGAACUUAUCUGUGGUGGUUACGCAAAGACGGGCCCUUUCCACGGCAGCCUGAAUAUAGGUCAGCCUGAGGGGAUGAUGUUGAGGAGGGGGAAGCAUGGCUGUAGAGAAGAAUUCUUGUAAAACUAGACCCUCAAGCUCUCUCUUUGGCUAAUGAGAUUGGUUUCAUCCAGGAGACUACUGAGAAUAGUAGUCUGGGUGAGUUGGGAGUAGAGGAAAGGGGGUUGCAUAGAGAACUGUAGACUCUGCAUUGGGAUGUUAUGGGUUGACUCUAAAAGUAUCUUUUUCAGUCCCUGAUUAUUUUAAAUCAGAUAAACACCGGUGUACAGAUUCAAGUCCAAACAUAUGUUGUUUAAAAUAUGCAUUCACUUCAGGCAAAAGACACACCCAGAAGCUGUCUGAUUUUUUUUUUUUUUACAUAUCAUUAACGCAUUGAAAUCGGAUACUGCUUUCAAGUAACCUACCUCCAGAAAAGGGCAACCUUCAAUCAGGCUGGUUUUAGCAGUUUAUUAAAAGUAAGUAAUUUACCUAUUACUAAGUUAAGCAAAACCAAAUUAAGAUACGUUUUCUGUUGAAAGUUAAAAUUAGAACACCUUUUAUAAUAUUAUUAACUUUAACAGGUUGCUUAAGCUAAAUUCAGGUUUUUUAGUCAGUUUUCAAAGGAGUCUCAAGCCACCUCAAGAGGCAAUUGCAUGUAGUUGUACGUAGUUAUAUACAGCUAAAUCUGAAGGAUUUAUGUCAAAAGAAGUGAACAGUUACAUCUACUAAAUGAUUAUGUCCAUUAAGGCCACCUUGGGAAUUAAGAGUCUCCCUAUAUACUCCUGGAUCACCAGGUAAUCAAAAUCUGUGUCUAGUAUUCUUUUUCGAUUUUCUGCUUUUCAUGGGUAAAUAAAGUGAUUUAGGUAGUGUUCAGCAGCAAAAAGUAGAAGCAAAGCAGAACAACAUUGCUUAUGCUCUGACACUUCUCAAUUCUGAUAGAGCAAGAUAGAAAUCAGUGACCUAUCUAUCCACUUCCCUAUCAGUAAAUGGCAGAAUUAAUGUUCUGUCUGUUUAUUCCUAAACUUUCCCAAUUCUAUUUUAUUUCCAAAGAUGACAUGUAGGAUUAUCUGGGAGAAGGAAAUAAAGAGUUCAUCCGCUCAAGAUCAUCACUCCCUAUUGCAGGUUCCCUGAUUUAAUCUGUUUAAAAAAAAAAAAAAAAAGAAAAAAAAUCUUAAGGCUGACAAAACUUUUUCUAAAGCCACAGCUGGAGAGAGAGAUGAACCAGUGAGACCCAUCCUGCUCAAAAAAAAUAAAAGUGGAGCAGGACAUGAUUUUUGCAGAAGCUGCUUGCAUACACAAUAUCACUUGCAAUAGGCAGUAGAAGGUUUUGCCUCUGGUACCUGUCUGGAUGUUACUAGAGUCCCACAAAAACUCCUUAUUGGAUGCAGAAGACCUUUUUCACUCCUUUACUUUGUGUAAACAAGUAUCUCAUCCAAUAUCGUGGAGUAUUUUUCAUGGAAAUUACACUAAAAGCAAAGGUUUCCCACACUCCUUUUCUUCUGCCCAUUGAGUAUAGCAAUUUAUAUUACUUUCAGUUUAUAAUAGCUCUAAGACUUCAUGACCAUUUAUUUCAACUCCUGUGAUUAACCAUUGCAAUUUCACUUGUGUUUGAGGAAAAUAAUAAAUUUUUCUUAAAAAAUUUCCUAGUAAUUGUGACUCUCCUACUAGUGUGUCAUAAGUCCAUGGUGAAUAUCCCAAGGUGCAUACAGAAAUUUAUUUUUAGUAGUAAUUAUACUCGACUUUAUAUGAUCCAACACUGAAACCAUGAAAACCAAAUUAUACAUAAUUUGAAUGCACUGAUUACAACCAGAAAAACCAUAUGAACUCUAUCUGAAAACUUUGCCUAGGGCAGAAAAUGUUCAGCUUUUAUAGAAUUCAUCCAAACAGUGAGUGUUUGCCUCCAUUACAAAUAAACUUAAACAUCCUAAGGCAAUCCACAUUAGUGAUGAUUGUUAAUGUCUUCAAGUCAUGUCCUGCAUGGGGCUAAGUGGGAAGU